GCCGCCGCCGCGCAGCUGAGGGGGAGCGGGCGCGGAGCGGAGCGCGGCCGGGGCGGCCCGGCCCCAGCCCCCGCAGGAUUUUUGUUGCCAAGAUACUACAGCAACGAAAAUGAGAAGGUUCUUAAGACCCGGACAUGAUCCAGUUCGAGAGAGGCUCAAGCGCGACCUUUUCCAGUUUAACAAGACUGUGGAACAUGGAUUUCCCCACCAGCCCAGUGCCCUGGGCUACAGCCCAUUUCUGCGUCUCAUGGCCAUUGGGACACGGUCAGGAGCCAUCAAAUUAUAUGGUGCUCCAGGGGUGGAGUUCAUGGGUUUACAUGAAGAAAACAACACUGUAAUGCAGAUUCACUUUAUACCUGAUCAGUGCCAGCUGGUGACACUGCUGGAUGAUAACAGCUUGCACCUCUGGAGCCUGAAGCAGCACGGAGGAACAUCCGAACUGCGGGAGGAGCAUCGCUUCACCCUCAAAGGACCACCUGGCUCUCCACCAAGUGCCACCCAGGUAACAGCUGUGCUUCCCCAUUCCUCACGGGAAGUGCUGUACCUCGGCACAGAGAGUGGCAACAUCUUUGUGGUGGAGCUGCCCUCCUUCCGAGUGCUGGAGGACAGGACCAUCACCCCUGAGGCCGUGCUGCAGCGGAUACCGGAAGAUAACUGCAACAGGCGAUCCUGUGAACUGGUGGAAGCCCUUCGGGAGCAUCCUAAGAACCCUGACCAGAUCCUAAUUGGAUACAGCAGGGGCUUGAUAGUCCUCUGGGAUCUGCAGAAUAACAAAGCAACACACCAUUUCCUGGGCAGCCAGCAACUGGAGAACCUCUACUGGCAGAGGGAUGGCAGUAAAUUCAUUAGUUGUCACUACGAUGGAAGUUACAGUCAGUGGCCAGUAUCCAGUGACAACAGGCAGGCAGAGCCUCUGGAAAACACUGUGCCUUAUGGUCCUUUUCCUUGCAAGGCCAUCUCCAAGAUCUACUGGCAGACAACAAAAAAUGGGCUUCCUUACAUAAUAUUCCAAGGAGGAAUGCCCCGGGCUAGCUAUGGGGACCGGCACAGUAUCUCUGUUAUCCACGGCAGCCAGCAAACAGCAUUUGACUUUACCUCACGGGUGAUAGACUUCUUUAUAAUCUUCAGUUCAGAUCCUGCUGCAGAGUUCGAUGACCCCUCUGCCCUGGUGGUGCUGGCAGAAGAAGAGCUUGUGGUCAUAGAUUUGAAAAGUGCAGGCUGGCCAGCAGUGCACCCUCCAUACUUGGCCUCCCUUCACUGUUCAGCCAUCACCUGCUCUCACCACGUCUCCAACAUCCCACUGAAGCUCUGGGAGCGGAUUAUCAGCGCUGGGAGCAAGCAGAACCUUCACUACUCCAGCAUGCCAUGGCCGAUUGAUGGUGGCACCAACAUCGCUCCAGAUCCUCCACAGAGGGACUUGCUGCUAACAGGGCAUGAGGAUGGCACAGUGAGGUUUUGGGAUGCCUCUGGUGUCUGCUUGCACCUCCUUUAUAAGCUGAGCACAGUGAGAGUGUUCCUCACAGAUGCUGAUCCCAAUGACAACAUGAACACCCUGGGGGAGGACGAAUGGCCUCCGCUCCGCAAGGUUGGUACCUUCGAUCCUUACAGUGAUGAUCCAAGACUUGGGAUCCAGAAGAUCUACCUGUGUAAAUACAGUGGAUACUUGGCUGUAGCUGGUACAGCAGGACAGGUUCUGGUGAUGGAACUGAAUGAUGAGGAUGCAGAACACGUGGUGGACCAUGCUGAAGCAGAUCUCCUGCAGGACCAAGAGGGCUAUCGAUGGAAAGGUCAUGAGAAGCUAAAAACUCGAGAUGGGCCUGUUCGAUUUGAAGCUGGUUUUCAGCCAUUUGUCCUUGUCCAGUGUCAGCCACCAGCUGUGGUCACCUCUUUGGCCCUGCACUCGGAGUGGAAGCUUGUGGCCUUUGGUACCAGUCAUGGGUUUGGGCUUUUUGACCAUCAGCAGAAGCGACUGGUCUUUGUCAAGUGCACACUGCAUCCCAGUGAUCAGCUGGCCUUAGAAGGUCCCCUAUCUCGAGUGAAAUCCUUGAAGAAGUCCCUCCGUCAGUCAUUCCGGCGGAUCAGAAGAAGCCGCGUGUCCAGUAGGAAGCGGAGAGGAGGUGGUGGGAAUGCCUCAGAGGUGCAAGAAGCAAAUGCCAAGUUUGACCAGGACGUGUUGCAGGAGAUGGAACUGGCUCCAGUCCAGCGCAAGAUUGAAGCGCGCUCGGCAGAAGACUCUUUCACUGGCUUUGUGCGAACCUUGUAUUUUGCUGAUACCUUCCUGAGAGACAGCUCCCGGCACUGCCCAUCCCUGUGGGCUGGCACCAAUGGAGGGACAGUCUACGCUUUCUGUUUACGUGUUCCUCCUGCUGAGAGGAGGAUGGAUGAGCCUGUGAGGGCAGAGCAGGCCAAAGAGAUUCAGCUGAUGCACAGGGCUCCUGUUGUGGGGAUUCUUGUGUUGGAUGGACGCAGCACUCCCCUCCCAGAACCUCUAGAAGUAGCACAUGACCUUUCCAAGAGUCCUGAUAUGCAAGGCAGCCACCAGCUGCUGGUGGUAUCUGAAGAGCAAUUUAAGGUCUUCACAUUGCCCAAGGUCAGCUCCAAACUGAAGCUCAAGCUGACAGCCCUGGAGGGCUGCAGGGUACGGAAGGUGACAGUUGCCAACUUUGGCAGCUGCAAGACUGAUGAUUACAGUGAGAAUGACCUGGCAGUGCUGACCAACCUGGGAGACAUCCAGAUCAUCUCCCUGCCCUUCCUCAAGCUGCAGAUCCGCUACCCCUGCAUCCGCAAGGAGGAUGUGAGUGGCAUUGCAUCCUGUGUCUUCACCAAAUAUGGCCAAGGUUUCUAUCUGAUCUCACCGUCGGAGUUUGAGAGGUUUUCCCUUUCCACCAAAUGGUUGGUGGAGCCCCGGUGCAUCGUGGACAUGCCAGAAGUGACAAGCAACAACCACGUGCACAAAUCUGGCACAGAGAAUGCUGCAAGGAAUUCCAGGGGACCAGGAAAGAAUCCAGGUGACUGUGGAGAAGAUGAAAGGAAGUCUGGGAAGCUGAUGGAACAUGCCUUACUCAAUGACGAAAAAGUGCUGAAGGAGAUCCAGAGUACUCUGGAGGGGGGCAGAGGGAGAGAUCACAUUCCUACAUCCUCAAGGAACAGGACUCUGAGUAUUCGCAUACAGGUUUCUAUCUGUGUCAACCCAUACUGAUCUAAGGGCAGGCCACAUGGGCUAAGUUGGUCAAGGAUGGGACUCUGGAGUUUUAAUCCUGGCUUGACACUGUCCCUUGGAUGUGUUCAGUGUCUCUGCUCCCAUUCUGUCUGUACAAUAGAGCUGAGCUACCACCACGGCUGCGGGGCUUUAUCUCAUCUCCCUAGAAUGGUCAGGGGCUACCAAGUGUAGGCAAAGGACUAGCGUCUGCAACGGAUGCAGGAAGCUUGGUGGGAUUGGUAACUGCUGGUGUCAAGGAUCAGUGACUGCCUGACAUGCUCUGCUCUGUGCACUUCCUCUGGACACUACCUCAUCCUGGUCUUCUGUUGGCAUCUGGGAGUGGAUGGGAUGAGAUGGCACUGCAAUAAGGAAUCUCUUCUUGUGUCAUUGCAGGAGCUAUGCAGAAAAAAAUUUGGCAAGAAGUCCGUUAGGACAUGGACUAAGUAAUGGAGGAGCAGAUUGACCAGAACUCAUGGAGGACAUCGUGGCAUUGGAUUGAGUGCCAUAACACUACUGACUGGGCAAACCGUCCCUGGGGAGAAGGCACCAGGGCUCCCAGCAGCCAGACUGGGGAGCUGCAGCUCCAGUGCUGUGCUUCUGCCUCUGCUCCCCUUUAGUGCCUCUUGGAGACCUCUCCUGCUGGAGCCAGCCUUGCUUUAGGACAGCAGUGGAUGCCAGGUCUGAUGCACCACAAGCCUCUGAGUACAUCUAUCAUUCAAAUGUUUGCACAUUUCUCUUUUCUACUGGGCUGGGUUUUAAAUUAUAAAUGUUUUACUGCCUUGGUGCAGGAUUUUAAUAAACGCACACUGUUACCUCCAACAAUUAUUUUUUGUACAUUUUUUAAAAAUCUUAUGGGUAUUUCAGUUUUAAAAGAAACAUUUAGAAAUUUACUUUAAGAAAAAAACAUUAAUAUAUGCUAGAUUCCUGUGAUUGCUGUAUGUGGUAUCUGAAUGAGUAAUUUUGGGGUUUGUUUGUUAUGGUACUGUUAACUGGCAUUAUGGAUUUGGGUAGAAUCUAUUUUUGUAGCCAUUCAAAUCAGAGGAAAACUAAUUGAAUUUGAUUUUUGUUUCAACACUACAUUGCUCUUUUUUUUUUUUUUUUUUUUUUUGCAAUAAA